AUUGAACGCUGGCGGCAUGCUUUACACAUGCAAGUCGAACGGUAGAGGGGGCAACCCCUUGAGAGUGGCGAACGGGUGAGUAAUGCAUCGGAACGUGCCCAGUCGUGGGGGAUAACGCAGCGAAGGCUGUGCUAAUACCGCAUACGAUCUCUGGAUGAAAGCGGGGGACCGAAAGGCCUCGCGCGAUUGGAGCGGCCGAUGUCAGAUUAGGUAGUUGGUGGGGUAAAGGCUCACCAAGCCAACGAUCUGUAGCUGGUCUGAGAGGACGACCAGCCACACUGGGAAUAAGACACGGCCCAGACUCCUGCGGGAGGCAGCAGUGGGGAAUUUUGGACAAUGGGCGCAAGCCUGAUCCAGCAAUGCCGCGUGCAGGAAGAAGGCCUUCGGGUUGUAAACUGCUUUUGUACGGAACGAAAAGGUCUGGGUUAAUACCCUGGGCACAUGACGGUACCGUAAGAAUAAGCACCGGCUAACUACGUGCCAGCCGCCGCAGUAA
rnacentral:rRNA from 1 species